UACGUAGGGUGCGAGCGUUAAUCGGAAUUACUGGGCGUAAAGCGUGCGCAGGCGGUAAGUUAAGUCUGAUGUGAAAGCCCCGGGCUCAACCUGGGAAUGGCAUUGGAAACUGGCUUGCUGGAGUGUGGCAGAGGGGGGUGGAAUUCCGCGUGUAGCAGUGAAAUGCGUAGAGAUGUGGAGGAACACCAGUGGCGAAGGCGACUCUUUGGCCUGUAACUGACGCUGAGGCGCGAAAGCGUGGGGAGCAAACAGG
rnacentral:rRNA from 1 species